rnacentral:rRNA from 1 species
UCCGUAGGUGAACCUGCGGAAGGAUCAUUACCGAGUGAGGGCCCUCUGGGUCCAACCUCCCACCCGUGUUUAUUUUACCUUGUUGCUUCGGCGAGCCUGCCUUUUGGCUGCCGGGGGACGCCUGUCCCCGGGUCCGCGCUCGCCGAAGACACCUUAGAACUCUGUCUGAAGAUUGUAGUCUGAGAUUAAAUAUAAAUUAUUUAAAACUUUCAACAACGGAUCUCUUGGUUCCGGCAUCGAUGAAGAACGCAGCGAAAUGCGAUACGUAAUGUGAAUUGCAGAAUUCAGUGAAUCAUCGAGUCUUUGAACGCACAUUGCGCCCUCUGGUAUUCCGGCGGGCAUGCCUGUCCGAGCGUCAUUGCUGCCCUCAAGCACGGCUUGUGUGUUGGGCUCCGUCCUCCUUCCGGGGGACGGGCCCGAAAGGCAGCGGCGGCACCGCGUCCGGUCCUCAAGCGUAUGGGGCUUUGUCACCCGCUUUGCAGGACUGGCCGGCGCCUGCCGAUCAACCAAACUUUUUUCCAGGUUGACCUCGGAUCAGGUAGGGAUACCCGCUGAACUUAAGCAUAUCAAUAAGCGGAGGA